UGGGGAAUAUUGCGCAAUGGGGGAAACCCUGACGCAGCCAUGCCGCGUGAGUGAAGAAGGUCUUCGGAUCGUAAAGCUCUUUCAACGGUGAAGAUGAUGACGGUACCCGCAGAAGAAGCCCCGGCUAACUCCGUGCCAGCAGCCGCGGUAAUACGGAGGGGGCUAGCGUUGUUCGGAAUUACUGGGCGUAAAGCGCACGUAGGCGGACCAGAAAGUUGGGGGUGAAAUCCCGGGGGCUCAACCCCGGAACUGCCUCCAAAACUAUUGGUCUAGAGUUCGAGAGAGGUGAGUGGAAUUCCAAGUGUAGAGGUGAAAUUCGUAGAUAUUGGGAAGAACACCAGUGGCGAAGGCGGCUAUCUGGACCGAUACUGACGCUGAGGCGCGAAAGCGUGGGGAGCAAACAGGAUUAGAUACCCUGGUAGUCCACGCCGUAAAACGAUGUCUGCUAGUCGUUGGGGGGCGUAGCCCUUCAGUGACGCCG
rnacentral:rRNA from 1 species